rnacentral:rRNA from 1 species
UAAUACGGAGGGUGCGAGCGUUGUCCGGAAUCACUGGGCGUAAAGGGCGCGUAGGCGGCUUCUCAAGCGCGCGGUGAAAGCCCGGGGCUCAACCCCGGGUCGGCCGUGCGGACUGGGGGGCUCGAGCACUGUAGGGGCGGGUGGAAUUCCGGGUGUAGCGGUGGAAUGCGUAGAGAUCCGGAAGAACACCGGUGGCGAAGGCGGCCCGCUGGGCAGGAAGACCUCGUAAGAGGUCGGCUGACGCUGAGGCGCGACAGCGUGGGGAGCAAACAGGAUUAGAUACCCUGGUAGUCCACGCCGUAAACGAUGGGCACUAGGUGCUUGGGGGAGCGACCCUCCGAGUGCCGGCGCUAACGCAUUAAGUGCCCCGCCUGGGGAGUACGGCCGCAAGGCUG